GGGAAUGUGGCUUAGUGGUGGAGUGCUUGCUUAGCAAGCAUGAAGCCCUGGGUUCGAUUCCUCAAUACCA
rnacentral:tRNA from 1 species